rnacentral:rRNA from 1 species
UACGUAGGGGGCAAGCGUUGUCCGGAAUCAUUGGGCGUAAAGCGCGUGUAGGCGGCUCGAUAAGUCUGCUGUGAAAGUUCAGGGCUCAACCCUGAAAUGCCGGUGGAAACUGUCGAGCUAGAGUCCGGAAGAGGCGAGUAGAAUUCCUGGUGUAGCGGUGAAAUGCGCAGAUAUCAGGAGGAACACCAAUGGCGAAGGCAGCUCGCUGGGACGGUACUGACGCUGAGACGCGAAAGCGUGGGGAGCAAACAGG